rnacentral:rRNA from 1 species
GUAGCAAGGUUAAGUACUUAAGGUACGGAGCCGAAGGGAAACCGAGUCUUAAUAGGGCGACUAGUUGCAUGCUGUAGACCCGAAACCGGGUGACCUAUCCAUGGCCAGGUUGAAGCGAGGGUAAAACCUCGUGGAGGACCGAACCACGUUGCUGUUGAAAAAGCAUGGGAUGAGCUGUGGAUAGCGGAGAAAUUCCAAUCGAACUCGGAUAUAGCUGGUUCUCCUCGAAAUAGCUUUAGGGCUAGCGUCGGAAAAUGUGAGUAGUGGAGGUAGAGCACUGAAUAGGCUAGGGGGCAUAGCGCUUACCGAACCUUAUCAAACUCCGAAUGCCACAUACUAUCAGUCCGGCAGUCAGACUAUGAAAGAUAAGUUCCAUGGUCAAAAGGGAAACAGCCCAGAUCGUCAGCUAAGGUCCCAAAGUGUAAGUUAAGUGGAAAAGGAUGUGGGAUUUCUAAGACAACUAGGAUGUUGGCUUAGAAGCAGCCACUCAUUAAAAGAAUGCGUAAUAGCUCACUAGUCAAGAGAUCCUGCGCCGAAAAUGUCCGGGGCUCAAACUUACCACCGAAGCUACGGGUUCACGCAUUUGCCGUGAGCGGUAGAGGAGCGUCGUAAUCGGGCUGAAGUCGUACCGUAAGGAGCGGUGGACUGAUUACGAGUGAGAAUGUUGGCAUUAGUAGCGAGAUGUAGGCGAGAAUCCUACAGGCCGAAUAUCUAAGGUUUCCUGAGUAAAGUUUGUCUUCUCAGGGUUAGUCGGGACCUAAGGCGAGGCCGAAAGGCGUAGUCGAUGGACAAUUGGUUGAUAUUCCAAUACCACUAUAAUCGUUAUUAUCGAUGGUGUGACGGAGAAGGAUAGGAUGUGCUAGCUAUUGGAUGCUAGUCUAAGCGUUUAGGGAGUUGGGAUUGGCAAAUCCGUUCCAACAAUUCUGAGGCGUGAUGGGGAAGGUUCUACGGAACCGAAGUAUCUGAUUCCAUGCUUCCAAGAAAAGCAUCUAGAAAGAGAAGUAGUGCCCGUACCGCAAACCGACACAGGUAGAUGAGGAGAGAAUCCUAAGGCCGACGGAAGAAUUGCAGUUAAGGAACUAGGCAAAUUGACCCCGUAACUUCGGGAGAAGGGGUGCCUGAGAAAUCAGGCCGCAGAGAAUAGGCACAAGCAACUGUUUAACAAAAACACAGGUCUCUGCUAAAGCGAAAGCUGAUGUAUAGGGGCUGACGCCUGCCCGGUGCUGGAAGGUUAAGGGGAACACUUAGUGGUAACGCGAAGGUGUGAACUUAAGCCCCAGUAAACGGCGGCCGUAACUAUAACGGUCCUAAGGUAGCGAAAUUCCUUGUCAGGUAAGUUCUGACCCGCACGAAUGGCGUAAUGAUUUGUGCACUGUCUCAACUGCAAAUCCGGCGAAGUUGUAGUGCGAGUGAAGAUGCUCGCUACCCGCGAUUGGACGGAAAGACCCCGUAGAGCUUUACUGUAGCUUAGCAUUGAAUUUCGGUAUUGUCUGUACAGGAUAGGUGGGAGACUGGGAAACUAGGGCGUCAGCCUUGGUGGAGUCGUUGUUGGGAUACCACCCUGAUAGUAUUGAAGUUCUAACUGGAUGCCAUGAAACUGGUGACAGGACAUUGUUAGGUGGGCAGUUUGACUGGGGCGGUCGCCUCCUAAAAUGUAACGGAGGCGCCCAAAGGUUCCCUCAGAACGGUCGGAAAUCGUUCGAAGAGUGUAAAGGCAGAAGGGAGCCUGACUGCGACACCUACAAGUGGAGCAGGGACGAAAGUCGGGCUUAGUGAUCCGGUGGUACCUCGUGGGAGGGCCAUCGCUCAACGGAUAAAAGCUACCUCGGGGAUAACAGGCUGAUCUCCCCCAAGAGUUCACAUCGACGGGGAGGUUUGGCACCUCGAUGUCGGCUCGUCGCAUCCUGGGGCUGAAGUAGGUCCCAAGGGUUGGGCUGUUCGCCCAUUAAAGCGGCACGCGAGCUGGGUUCAGAACGUCGUGAGACAGUUCGGUCCCUAUCCGUCGCGGGCGUAGGAAAUUUGAGAGGAGCUGUCCUUAGUACGAGAGGACCGGGAUGGACUGACCUAUGGUGUACCAGUUGUUUCGCCAGAAGCAUAGCUGGAUAGCUAAGUCGGGAAGGGAUAAACGCUGAAAGCAUCUAAGUGUGAAGCCCACCUCAAGAUGAGAUUUCCCAUAGCAUAAGCUAGUAAGACCCCUUGAAGACUACAAGGUUGAUAGGUCAGAGGUGUAAGUGUGGUAACAUAUUUAGCUGACUGAUACUAAUAGGUCGAGGGCUUGACCAA